rnacentral:misc_RNA from 1 species
GUCGUAACAAGGUAGCCGUAGGGGAACCUGCGGUUGGAUCACCUCCUUACCUGAAGAUACCUUCCCGCGCAGUGUCCACACAGAUUGUCUGAUAGAAAAGUAACGAGCAAGACGGCUGCGAAGUCGUGACACUGAACAGUGUCCCCUUCGUCUAGCGGUUAGGACUCCGCCCUUUCACGGCGGCAACAGGGGUUCGAAUCCCCUAGGGGACGCCAACUUGCCAGGUGAUGAGUGAAAGUCGUCGCUGAAAUAUCUUAAAACUGACUUUAACCAGUCGGCUUUAAGAUAUUGCUCUUUAACAAUCCGGAACAAGCUGAAAAUUGAAACGACGUGUCGCGUUCAUUCUCCGUAAUAAGAAUGAAAAAUGGCGACAUGUUCGAGUCUCUCAAAUGCUUACGACUGACAUGAGUCCUGCGGGACGCUUGUGGGUUGUGAGGUUAAGUGACUAAGCGUACACGGUGGAUGCCUUGGC